rnacentral:rRNA from 1 species
UACGUAGGGUGCGAGCGUUGUCCGGAAUUAUUGGGCGUAAAGGGCUCGUAGGCGGUUUGUCACGUCGGGAGUGAAAACUCGGGGCUCAACCCCGAGCCUGCUUCCGAUACGGGCUGACUAGGGGUAUGCAGGGGAGAACGGAAUUCCUGGUGUAGCGGUGAAAUGCGCAGAUAUCAGGAGGAACACCGGUGGCGAAGGCGGUUCUCUGGGCAUUACCUGACGCUGAGGAGCGAAAGUGUGGGGAGCGAACAGG